AACACAUUUUUAUUUUUAAAAAUAUAUACAUAUAUCACUAAAAUUGACUUUUCUUUUACAGAAACAUUUACCACUAAUAUUCUAAACAACAGUCUGGAGAAAGCUGAUCUAAACACACUAUGAUACACAGAUGUUUGGACUGCAAGUAACAGAACAUUCAACCCAAAGGAGCUUAAACGACAGUGAGGGCUUUUUGCCUGUUUGACUGAAUAAGAGAAAGGCGUUUAUCGGCGCUGGGUCCAGGUCAGCAAUGGCAGGAAUCUGGACUGGUCUCUCUGCUCUGUUCCUGGUCUUCUCCUCUUGGUUGUCUGAUGGCUGCUGCAGCUCCAAGCAUCACAUCCUCAUCUGGCAAAGGCAGUGAGUGGAGGGCAGAGUGUCUUACCUCAACUCACCUCUUAAAUGGGAUGAACGGCAUUCCCAGAAGCGCCUUUCCCCACCCGGCUGCCCACAGUAGACCUCCCCUCACAUCUCCUGGGCUGAAAACUGGGCCCGGCCCCUCCCCGCCGAGAUCAAGAGUGCUCCCUCUCCACUGGUGGCUGAAAGGCCCCGGUUCUGUUUGGAGGAACGAGGGGGAGAGGUGCUGGGGCAGAGCCCUCAGUGCCCCCCAUGGUGGGGAGCGGAGGCAGCGAGCUGCAGAAGGUGGGCCCCGAGGAACCCUGAGCAAGGCCCCCGUGAGCAGGCAGGAGGCGACUCCCCGAGUCCUUCUCCACCCACCAGUCCAUCACAGGAGCCGCAGGGUAUGGGGGCGUGGGGGGGACAGUGAGCCGGACCCCGAGCGGAGACGGGCUCUGUGCUCCAGCCUGAGGGUGCCAGAGACGAGGACCAGCUUCGUGAAUGGGCGGUCUCCUAGCUCGCCACUGUCCGACUCUGUGCCCCAGACAGAACACGGACCACAGCCCACGCCAGGGGCAAGGGGGCAUGAAUGGGGGCAGUGGGGGCAUGAAUGGGGGCACGACUAUGGGGUGGGGGUGUGAAUGUGGGGUGAGGGCAUAAUUAGGACAGUGAGGGGGACGAAUGGGUGCAUGAAUGUGAAGUGGGGAAUGAAUGGAGGGCAGUGGGGGCAUGAAUGUGGGGUGGGAGCAUGAAUGGGGACAUGAAUGUUGAGUGGGGCAGGAAUAGGGGACAGUGGGGGUAUGAAUGGGGACAGUCGGGGCAUGCAUGGGGGCAUGAAUGUGGAGUGGGGCGUGAAUGUGGGGGCAGUGGGGGCCUAAAUAGGCGGGCCUGAAUGGGGGACAUGGCCACUGCCCUCCUGCUCUUGGAUUCCCUCGGCGGGUCUCAGCCUGCGUCCAGAAGACGGCGUCUCAGACGGGCAGGCCGGCAGGCCUGGGAGCACGGCCAGGGCCCUCCACGGGCCUGAGGAGGAGCCAGGCCGGAGGGGAGGGCCCUGGCUGGGCCACUUGCCGCCUGUCCCUGUGUGCAGCCCCCGUUCCAGCUGCCCAGGCUGCAGACAAGCGCCACCGAGGACUCUCCCAGCUGGGGGCUGGCGGGGCCCGGCCUGCAGACGGCUCCUGUCCUCUGCUGGGCUGGAGACAUCUGCACGGACCGGGGCAGCCACGCAGACGACACAUAAAAUGGGGAAGUCGUUGGUCUGCUCACAGCCCAGGCGCUAAGUGGCCUCACCUCUGGGAGGCCCAGCUCCUGGCUGCAGCUGGUCCUUGGCUGCUGGUCACCAGUAAGGGUGUGCCUGGCCCGGGCAGACAACAGAGGGGAAAGAGCCAGCCUCUGGGCACGUCUCCUCUGCCAGGGUCUGUGUCUGUCACCUUCCGGUCCUGCUGUCUGUCUACACGGAGGAUUCCUUCUCCCCUAGCAGCAACCACACCCAGUUUGUAGUGCUCUGCUGGCGGCUGGAAGCUUUUAACAUAUUUGCAACUAGGGACUAAAUGCAAAAAUCCAAAGGCUGGAGGGACGGCUGGAGCCCACAGUCCCUGACCAAGGGGACAGGGCAGCCGGGCUGAGGGAGGCCCGGCUUAUGCAAGUUCAGCCAGAGACCCCUCCGGAAUCCUGAGGAGCCCUGGAGAGCAGCGUGUGGGUUCAGGAGGAGACUGGAGGGAACGGGGGCUGACGUUGGUCCCGGUCCCAGCCCCAAGUAAAGGCUGCCAAGUCCAGUGGGGGCUGCAGAGCCUGGGGGCUGGGGACAGGCUGGGAGGGGGCGGGGAGGCCUCUGCCCCCACAAACCCCCUGCUUUUAUCUCUUCUGCUCAUCCCCUGGCUCCACUCCCAUCCCCCGAAGAGGGCAUCUGCACACUCCACCUCAAGCCCUGGGCACCAGCUCAGGUCCCUCCUGGCCCUGAAACCAUGUGUCCUUGGCCCCAAGCCCACCGGACCUGCUGGGCACUCUCUUGACUCUGCCACAUUCCGCAGGGGGACCCCCGCCCCCUCCUGACUGUCUCUUCCCUAAAGAAUACAGCAAUUUUUGUAAUCCUUAAUACAGCUUCCUGGUUUAAAAAAUUCAGGCUGGGGGCCGGCCUGGUGGCACAGUGGUUAAGUUCGCAUGUUCCGCUUCAGCGGUCCAGGGUUUGCUGGUUGGGAUCCCAGGUGCAGACAUGGCACCGCUUGGCACGCCAUGCUGUGGUAGGCAUCCCACAUAUAAAGUAGAGGAAGAUGGGCACGGAUGUUAGCUCAGGGCCAGUCUUCCUCAGCAAAAAGAGGAGGACUGGCAGCAGUUAGCUCAGGGCUAAUCUUCCUCAAAAAAAAAAAAAUUCAGGCUGAACCAAGGGCAGACAUGGAAACAAGGUCUCCCCUGUCGCUAGUUCCCAGGGGCAGAGGCCACCACCGUGACCAGACAUGUGGAAGAGUGAGGGGGCUGUGGGCUCACUUAGAACAUCGAGGCAAUGGCUCUGGGUUGUGAGGUGCCGCAUGGUGCCUCAGGCUGCACAGCAUCCACCCUCACUCACUGGUGCCCUCAGAUGGAUACGCGUCCAGGUGUUUCCAGCUUUGCCUAGAGCAUGUGCACGCAGGCGAACAUCCCCCAGGAUGGAGCCGGGCAGGGGAAAGGCUGGCUGGACCUGGGCCUUGGUUAAGUUGAUGGGCACUGUCUCUCCUCCCUGAAUCUCAGACUCAAACUCUGGCCAGUAACUGGGGGUGCCUGUCUCCCCACCCUGCCCUCC
ensembl:lncRNA